CGGCCGGACAAGUCCGUUGGGAAAUCGACGCGCUCAACGCGUCGGCGUCCAGCGGAAACUGUCCGGCUUGGGGCCGGAAGACCUGAGGGGUACGUCCGGGGUAGGAGUGAAAUCCUGUAAUCCUGGACGGACCGCCGGUGGCGAAAGCGCCUCAGGAAGACGGACCCGACGGUGAGGGACGAAAGCCAGGGUCUCGAACCGGAUUAGAUACCCGGGUAGUCCUGGCCGUAAACAAUGCCCGCUAGGUGUGCCGCAGGCUACGAGCCUGCGCUGUGCCCUAGGGAAGCCGAGAAGCGGGCCGCCUGGGAA
rnacentral:rRNA from 1 species